GAGCCUUGAUGUGUAGGAUAGGUGGGAGGCUUUGAAGUGUGGACGCCAGUCUGCAUGGAGCCGACCUUGAAAUACCACCCUUUAAUGUUUGAUGUUCUAACGUGGACCCGUAAUCCGGGUUGCGGACAGUGUCUGGUGGGUAGUUUGACUGGGGCGGUCUCCUCCUAAAGAGUAACGGAGGAGCACGAAGGUUGGCUAAUCCUGGUCGGACAUCAGGAGGUUAGUGCAAUGGCAUAAGCCAGCUUGACUGCGAGCGUGACGGCGCGAGCAGGUGCGAAAGCAGGUCAUAGUGAUCCGGUGGUUCUGAAUGGAAGGGCCAUCGCUCAACGGAUAAAAGGUACUCCGGGGAUAACAGGCUGAUACCGCCCAAGAGUUCAUAUCGACGGCGGUGUUUGGCACCUCGAUGUCGGCUCAUCACAUCCUGGGGCUGAAGUAGGUCCCAAGGGUAUGGCUGUUCGCCAUUUAAAGUGGUACGCGAGCUGGGUUUAGAACGUCGUGAGACAGUUCGGUCCCUAUCUGCCGUGGGCGCUGGAGAACUGAGGGGGGCUGCUCCUAGUACGAGAGGACCGGAGUGGACGCAUCACUGGUGUUCGGGUUGUCAUGCCAAUGGCACU
rnacentral:rRNA from 1 species